GUCGUGGCUAUUUGUAUGGAGUCAGAGGCUUCUGCCCACCAUUCUGGGUCAGGUUCUCCCCUCCAAGAUUAGGUCUUAUCAAAAACAAAUUUGUCAGCUCCAUUUCCUCUUUAUUUACUUCUAGGCUCACUAAAAUCACUCCAGAAACAUUUUUUAUUUUCAUGUGAAAUUAUAACCAGAGGCCUAUUUUCUGAGAAAAAAGUAUUCGGAAACACCUCCCUCCUUGAAACUUAGUCACCCACCCACCUAUCAUAGCAUUUCCUGCUUUGAAGGAGAAUUCUCACCAAGCACAGAGGAACCCAGAUCAGAGCAGGAGACUUUUCACUCUGCAGAGGAGCGCUGUCAGCAUGACACGUGCUAGCUUGCUGUGGACAGUCAUGGUCUCCACCUGUCUUGAAUCCAGCAUGGCCCAGACAGUCACUCAGUCUCAACCAGAGAUGUCUGUGCAGGAGGCAGAAACCGUGACCCUGAACUGCACAUAUGACACCAGUGAAAGUAAUUAUUAUUUGUUCUGGUACAAGCAGCCUCCCAGUAGGCAGAUGAUUCUCAUUAUUCGCCAAGAAGCUUUUAAGCCACAGAAUGCAACGGAGAAUCGUUUCUCUGUGAACUUCCAGAAAGCAGCCAAAUUCUUCAGUCUCAAGAUCUCAGACGUACAGCUGGGGGACACCGCCAUGUAUUUCUGUGCUUAUGGGAGCACACAGUGAGACAAGCAACAGGGAGAGGCUUACAGAAACCUCAGAACUCAGAGUCUGUGCAAACGUCAUAGGGUGCAAGGGAAGUGGUGGGAUAAUAGGUAUAGAAAAUCAAUGACUUCUCUUGGAAAUAAAGGCUUCUUCUCUUUCUUCUCCUAUAAGAAACUCAAAGAGAUGGAUGUCUGCAACUUCAAUCCUUAAAGUAACAGUAAAGAUAAUGACA